rnacentral:piRNA from 1 species
UGCUAAUGUGAAUGCCGUUCACUGUCAGCGG